UCAGGACGAACGCUGGCGGCGUGCUUAACACAUGCAAGUCGAACGGUGAAGGAAGAGCUUGCUCUUCCGGAUCCAGUGGCGAACGGGUGAGUAACACGUGGGCAACCUGCCCCUGACUCUGGGAUAACUCCUCGAAAGAGGUGCUAAUACCGGAUACGACCACUUCGGACAUCCGAUGGUGGUGGAAAGUUUUCGGUCAGGGAUGGGCCCGCGGCCUAUCAGCUAGUUGGUGGGGUAAUGGCCUACCAAGGCGACGACGGGUAGCCGGCCUGAGAGGGCGACCGGCCACACUGGGACUGAGACACGGCCCAGACUCCUACGGGAGGCAGCAGUGGGGAAUAUUGCGCAAUGGGCGAAAGCCUGACGCAGCGACGCCGCGUGAGGGAUGAAGGCCUUCGGGUUGUAAACCUCUUUCAGCAGGGACGAAGCGAAAGUGACGGUACCUGCAGAAGAAGCACCGGCUAACUACGUG
rnacentral:rRNA from 1 species